rnacentral:snRNA from 1 species
AUCGCUUCUCGGCCUUUUGGCUAAGAUCGUAAAUAGUUUCUGUUCUUAUCAGCUUAAUAUCUGAUACGGACCUUAUUGGUUCGAGAUAUUAAACUUAUUUUUGAAAAUGGCGUUUACUCGGAGCUUGCUCGGAGGCUGGGAGAGCAGGAGUUCCUGGACCAUGGUCCUGCCUCUACGUCCGCU